GAGUCGAGCGCCAAAGCCGCCUCCCCGAAAGGGAAAAGGAUGCCUCUCUCCGCCAAGCAACACGCCAGCCUCAGCCCUCACGCCAGCGCUUCCCGACUCCGAGGGCGCGGAGGCCCGGCCCGCCGGGACCUGGGAGACUGGCUUGUUUUACCUCAGGGGUUCAGCAGUCACGGUUUCGCUUCAACGCCUUGUCGGCUUCAGCGAGCGGAGGGCGCCGCUCUGCGCUCCCGGCACCCGGUUACGACAGAAAUGCACCGGCCUCGUCGUCGUCACCGCAGCUGCUGCUGGAUCCUCCCCACAGCUCGAAGGCCGCUGCCGCCGCCAUCGCCGCAGGAGCCACGGAAACAAAGCGCCGCCGCCGCCGCCGCCGCCGCCGCCGUUCUGUGGGGCCGAGGCUCAGGCAGGAGAAGCGGCGCGGCCUCCCUCUGCCGCGUCCCGUCGUCCACGGGCUCCCUCCGCCGCGGCGCAGGCGCUUCUUGGCCGCGGAGACGCACCUUCGUUGGGGGCCUGUUGCUAAGGCGGUCUCCGUCGUUUGAUCCCGUCUACCUUGUCGUGGGGGGGUCCAGGUUAUCGAGUUCUUUGCUUUCCUAGAUGUUUUAUAUAUAAUAGUCAGCAUGCCACAAUGCUUAAAAACAUAAACCCGCGGCCCAGUGGUUGAGUUCCCACGCUCCGCUGCAGGUGGCCCAGUGUUUCGUUGGUUGGAGUCCUGGGCGCAGACAUGGCAUGCUCAUCAAACCACACUGAGGCGGUGCCCCACAUGCCACAAGUGGAAGGACCCACAACGAAGAAUAUAAUACAAAUAUGUACCAGGGUCUUUGGGGAUAAAAAGGAAAAAGAAAAUCUUUAAAAUAAAAACAUAAACAUAUACACAGACAUACCUCGUGUUAUUGCGCUUCACUUUAUUGCUCUUCUCAAACAUUGCACUUUUUACAAAUUGAAGGUUUGUGGCCUUGAGCAAGUCUGUUGGUGCCAUUUUUCCAACAGCAUUUGCUUAUGUCAUGUCUGUGCACCACAUUUUGGAAAUUCUCGCAAAAUUUCAAAUGUUUUCAUUAUUACUAUAUUUGUUAUCAUGAUCUGUGAUCAGUGGUCUUUGAGAUUACUACUAUAAUUGUUUUAGGGCACCACGAACCUCACCUACAUAAGACAGCAAACUGAAUAGAUGUGUGUUCGGACAGCAAUUUCCCUUCUCUCUCCCGCUCCUCUGGCCUCCCUAUUCCCUGAGACACAAUAUUAAAAUUAGGCCAAUUAAUAACCCUACAAUGGCCUAUGGGUGUUCCAAGUGAAAGGAAGAGUCGCAUGUCUCUCACUUUAAAUCAAAACCUCGAAUGAUUAAGCUUAGUGAGGAAGACAUAUCAAAAGCCAAGAUAGGCUGAAAGCUAGGCCUCUUAUGCCAAACAAUUAGCCAAGCUGUGAAUGCAAACGAAAAGUUCUUGAAGGAAAUUAAAAGUGCUACUUCAGCGACACGCAAAUAAAAAAGCGAAAGAGCCUUACUGCUGAUAUGGAGAAAGUUUUAGUAGUCUGGAUAGAAGAUCAAACCAGCCACAACAUCCCCUAUACCCAAAGCCUAAUGCGGAGCAAGGUCCUAACUCUUCAAUCCUCCGAAGGCUGAGAGAAGUGAGCAAGCUGCAGAAGAGAAGUUUGAAGCUAGCAGAGGUUGGUCCAUGAGUUUCAAGGAAAGAAACCCAUCUCCAUAACAUGAAAGUGCAAGGCGAAGCAGCAAGUGCUGACGCAGAAGCUGCAGCAAGUUCUCCAGAAGAUCUAACCAGGAUAAAGAUGAUGGUGGCCACACUAAACAACAGAUAUUCAAUGUAGACAAAACAGCCUUAUAUUAGAAGAAGAUGCCACCUAGGACUUUCAUAACUGGUGAGGAAAAGUCAAUGCCUUGCUUCAAAGCUUCAAAGGACAGGCUGACUCUCUCGUUAGGGGCUAAUGUACCGGGUAACUUCAAGUUAAAGCCAAUGCUCAUUUACCAUUCUGAAAAUCCUAGGACCCUUAAGAAUUAUGCUAAAGGUACUCUGUCUAAGCUCUAUAAAUCAAACAACAAAGCCUGGAUGACAGCACAUCUAUUUACAACAUGGUUGAGUCAAUAUUUUAAGCCCACCACUGAGACCUACUGCUCAGAAAAAAAGAUUCCUUUCAAAAUAUUGCAUGCUUAUUGACAAUGCACCUGGUCACCCAAGAGCUCUGAUGGAGAUUGCAACGAGAUUAAUAUUGUGUUCGUGCCUCCUCACACAACAUCCAUUCUGCAGCCCAUGGACCAAGGAGUAACUUCAACUU
rnacentral:lncRNA from 1 species